rnacentral:lncRNA from 1 species
GGCAGUGGCAGUGUCCAGUGCCCCCUUGGGGACCCCUGGGAGAGCCACAUCCGAGGGGGGCUUGUCCAAAACCACCUUAUCCCGGCGGGUGGGCUCCCUACCUUGUGCUGGGGUCUCCAGAGGGAUCCCGAGGCUGGAAUUCCUGUGGCUGGAAUUGCUGUGUUGUCUCCUGGAGCACCUGGCGAUGUCCUCAGUGCGAGCGUGGUGUUGGGGGAGGGGGGAGUGCAGAGGGGUCCCUGAGGGAUGGGGGUGGGGAUAGGUUUGGGGGUGCUUUGGGGGUGGGUGGGUCCUGUGGGGUGCACAGAUGGGGGUUUGAAGGGAAGCACAGUGGGGCCAGGGUUGGGUGUCUGGGGGUGCUGUGGGAAGAAGCUCAUUUGCACAAUUAUAAGCCAGAAGGAUAAAGCCUCUGUGCGCGUGGGGGGAGGACAGCUCCCCACGGGCUCCAGUCCAGACAAGCACAGGGAGGAGGAGGAGAAGGAGGGUUCACUGUAUCUCACACUGCACUAGGACAAGCCAGGGGGGAAAACCAAAGGUGGGAGCCAGGGAGCAGGCGGGCUGCGUGGGAAGGAUCUAAGCGACCCCUUUGUAGCUCUUCAGUGUUGGUUCUAUUUAUACGAGAUUUCAUUUCCUUGCUUGUGAUGCCUUGUUUUUUGUACAGUUUUAUGUACAUGCAGGUGUAGCUUUUCUAAAGGAGAAAUCCUAUGGCAGAGUAAAGUACCCCCACUAUUUUUCAGAUGGUGCCCUAUGUCUAAGGCGACGCCUCUUGCUAAGGUUGUACUGCUCAAUGUGUGAUGCAUUUCCCUGUGCGGGGAAGCCUUCGGGCCUUGGGCUUGGUUUUCCCCGGGCGCUGUGAGCACAAUUGAUUCCCUUGUAACUCUUUCUGUUCGGAGCCGUGAGCAUGACACCGUCGUGAUCCCCCCUUUCCGUUCUCCCCAUGUUCCGUUCGUUUGCUGAGCUAUCAAGAUGACCAACUCCAUUGUAAUUAGCCCUUCCUAAAGCUUUACAAUAAAAGUGUGAAAACCCGGCUGUCUGGGCCUGGCUGCUUCCUGAGCGUCCUUUGGGGUUUCCCUGCCUUCCUGCCCUGCUCUUGGCUCCCUGUUGUCCAGCUUGAGGAUGUUCCUGCACAAGGACAAGGAGGAUAAGCCCCCAAAGCACUUUCCCACAGACCAGACUCCUUCAAGGCUGGGUUGGAUGGGGUUUGGAUCAUCCUGCUCCUGUGGAAGGUCUUCCUGCCAGCCCAAGCCAUUCCAUGAUUCUGGGAUUGAUUUUAUCAUUGAAACCCAAAUAUUUCAAUGAAAAAAUACCUCCAGCCCUGAGGCCACCCACGCCUGUCGCCAGCCAAGGUGGGAAUCAGAGAAAAUCCCAUCAAAGCUCUUCAGACCCCCUUCCA